GAUUGUCUGCUUAAUUGCGUUAACGAACGAGACCUUAACCUGCUAAAUAGUUAUGCCAACUUUGUUGGUAGUCAACUUCUUAGAGGGACUGUCGGCGAUUAGCCGACGGAAGUUUAGGCAAUAACAGGUCUGUUAUGCCCUUAGAUGUCCUGGGCCGCACGCGCGCUACACUGAUGAAGUCAACGAGUUUAUAACCCUGGCCGGAAGGUCUGGGUAAUCUUUUGAAACUUCAUCGUGCUGGGGAUAGGGCAUUGCAAUG
rnacentral:rRNA from 1 species